GGAGAUUUAGCUCAGUGGUAGAGCGUUUACCUAGGAAGCGCAAGGCCCUGGGUUCGGUCCCCAGCUCCG
rfam:Rattus norvegicus chromosome 5, whole genome shotgun sequence.